rnacentral:rRNA from 1 species
UUGGGCAGGGUGCCCGUGCCCGUGUGAAGCUCCUUCGACGAGUCGAGUUGUUUGGGAAUGCAGCUCUAAAUGGGUGGUAAAUUUCAUCUAAAGCUAAAUACCGGCCGGAGACCGAUAGCGCACAAGUAGAGUGAUCGAAAGAUGAAAAGCACUUUGAAAAGAGAGUUAAACAGCACGUGAAAUUGUUGAAAGGGAAGCGCUUGCGACCAGACUCGGCCUCGGGGUUCAGCCAGCAUUCGUGCUGGUGUACUUCCCCGGGGCCGGGCCAGCGUCGGUUCGGGCGGCCGGUCAAAGGCCCCAGGAAUGUAUCGUCCUCCGGGACGUCUUAUAGCCUGGGGUGCAAUGCGGCCAGCCUGGACCGAGGAACGCGGACGCUG